AUAGAAAGAAUCAAUCUAAUCGAUGACAGGAAGAGCUUUCAGAGUGCAGGUGAGUCCGCAGGUGAGUCCGUCCACAACAAUGAAUCAUCUUCUGUCUUCUUAACAUUUAAUGCUUCUUGUUGUGUUUCUGCGCAACGUGAUCUGCAGCACACACACACACACACACACACACACACACACACACACACACACACACACACACACACACACAGGGAUCCUGCCUUUGCGGAAGCCAGAGCAGCCGAGGCGGCGCUAAAUGAAAUUAGCAUACUAACUGUUUAUCUGUGCGGAUGGACGGGUGAACGGAGCUUCCUGGAGAAAACUCUCGUCCUCUGCAGUGCACACACCGCCGGAGUCCGGGCUCAUUUUGUGGGGAUCUUGCUGCCGUCCGCCUGCCGAGGAGAUGGGGGACAAGGCGGGCACCAGUCACUUCCUGUUAGGAAACAGGUGGGAAACAGGGAGGAGAGGAAACGAGCAGGAGGAAAGACAAACAUUAUGCAAACAGUGACGACUGCUGAAGAAACAACUGAUAUGCACCCUUCGCUACAUACGCACGCUAUCGCACAGGAAGUCUGUGGUUUGUGUGGGAGGAGGUGGCCGAUCAGCUGUGGAUAUUAUAGAUUAUCAGUGUAUUGAUCGUGUCUGUUGGGGCAGUUCACUGCUGAACAACCUGCAGUGGAACGUUUUACAUGCAGAUACUCUUAAAGCUUCACAGAGCCAAACAAAGUCACUCCAGGUCCGUUUGAGACCAAUCACACGCACACUGAGUCCACUACAGGUGUGAGGGGCGUGGCCUAAUUACAGCGCCACCAUCUGGCCGACAUAGCUCGUGUUUCUUGGGAGGCGCACACACGUCGUUUACAGUUAAGUUUUAUGUUUCCAGCUCUUUUCAGCUCACAGGAGCACAAACUCGGGUUUGAACCCCAGUUGUUGUACAUGUAACUCCACUGUAGGAACAUAAAGCUGCCAUAAUGAAUCUCUUUCUAUGAAUGGAUCAAUAAUAACAGCUGUCUGGUAGUGAAUUAUCAGCAGCUUCCUUCAGCUUUAGAGGGCUUUAUAGUGAGUGUCGGUGAGAGCUGGAAGGAUUCAUUGAUAAUUGAGUCAUUUUUUAAGAACAAAAGUCAGAUUUUAGCUCCUUAAAUGUGAAUAUUUCCUGCUUUCUUUCGUCCUCUAUGACAGUAAACUGAAUAUCUUUGGGUUGUGGAUAAAACACGGCACUUGAGUGACCUGAUUGUAUCUGAAUAUUAUUGAGUAAUGUCACAUCUUUAUCUGUGAUUAUCUUGGUGCAAACUGAAGCUGCAGCUGACCAUUAUUUUCUCCAAUGAUUGUCUGUAAAAUAACAUUAUAAAGAAAGGCGUGAUAUGAUUUCCCUAAAGCCAAAGUAGAUUAAUUUAACCUGUUUUCAUCCAACAGACCAAAAGAUAUUGUGUCCAACUCAUGUAAGACAAAGAAAAGCAUCAAAUCUUCAUAUGUGGCAGCUUUGUUUUAAAAGUGAAAACAGUUUAAGCAAUUAAUGUACUAAUCAUUGAAGCUCAACCAAGCCCCUGAAUUUGGUGGCCAAAGUAAAUGUUUGGUGGCCAGAAUAUGAACGUAAGUAAAUCGAGGCUGUAUGUUAAAUCACAUUUUUUAGAAUAAACAACUUCAAUAUAAGAUUCAUCAGUGAAACCUGCAGUUUGAUUCAGAUCACGUCUUUAGAAUCGGAAACAACAGCAGCAACUUCCUGCUUCAUCACUGAUCUACAGUGUUUACUUUGUGCUUCACAGCAGCAGGUUUAUAAUCCAACAGAUGAUUUAUAAAGUCAAACUAGUUCAGUUAGUGUUCAAACCCGUCUGACACUCCUGUCGCAGCACUCUGUGGAUUUAUCACCGUAUCAUUACGUCUGCACGACUUUCAUGUUGCAUUUAAAAUGAAGCCCCUGUUCACAGCCGACAUUAAGGCGUCCUUGAUUGACCGUUUGACCUGGUCUCACUUCCUCCACAGUGAAUCAUCCAGUUUCUGUUCUACUGGCUCUUGGACCCAAAUAGAAACCAGUCAGCGUGUCAGAAUCCAUUGCUGUUGUCGUGGCUGAGGUUGUUUCUUAAAUGAUCACAAUCACCACUCAAUGUACAAACUAUCUUACAGGAUGAGACGUUGGCUCUUACCACACCAACCGCACAUCCUUGCAUAUAAAUCAUUUUACGAGCUCUUGGCGAGCGGCCUGCUGCGGCCGAGCGAGCCGAACGCCGUCCUCCAUUUUCAUAGUAAACCGCAUAAUGUUACUCUGUUGCUCUUAUAGACUGUACAUAUUGUAACCUUAAACAGGUUAUUACACUUAAUUAACCACAAAAUGUUGAAUUUGGAAUAAUAAGUGACACGAAUGAGUGCGGGCUGCUGUUUGUGGGAAUUGCCGCCAUUGUUUCUGCUCAUUGAUCCAAUGUGUAGACAGAAAAUAGGCCCGUCAGCUGUUCUAAUAAUAUAAUAUGCUAAAAUGUCUGAGUCUGAACACGGUGCAGAAACAGAGUAGAAAUAUCCAUGUAUGUGACUCAGGUGUACAGAAGCUCCACUGUUUUAAAUGCUGUUUAAUUUGGAACCGGUUCUCCGCUGUAUGACUGUGGCACUGUUGUUAUAAUAUAGGAUAUUUACCCUCGGUCCCGGAUGUGCUGCUCGGUUGGGAAGCAGCGGCACUCGUACGUAGAGUCAGAUACAUUCCUGGAGUGUAAGACUAGAAGGAUAUACAGCAGGGUAGUUUGACAAUGGCUGGUUAUUAUUAUUAUUAUUAUUGUUAUUAUUAUUAUUGGUGCAGACAGGCGGUCCAGUCUUUUAUUGUGAGAAGGUUUAAACUGGUUGGUCUAAUAACAGAAGAUAUUAUGAAUCUAGACAAAGGUUAUUUAACCUUAAACACUUUGUAAACCUACCGAUGACGAAAUGACACAACUGAAACUUAAUCAGUAGAGCAAAUACUCAUAAACUACUGGAGCUGCUAUAUGUAUGUGUUUGUCAUAUACACAGUUCAAACAUGUGGAGGGUUGAGGCCAGCUUCACUGAGACUCCGCCCCUCCAGGAAGUCAGGAGGUAGGUAGAGGAAGGUGAGAGUAAGAGGGGAUUUUCCACAACGCAACUGAAAAACACGCCAAAUUCAAUAAAAGGAAUUCAUAAACUCAGAGGCAAUCCAAUCAGUUUUAAUUCCCAUCCCUAGUCAGUGAGUUUGCCACAGCACGUUCCUGCAAAUGUUUCACAAUAAAAGCCUUGUUAAGAAAUGAAAGUCUGCUGAAGGACAAACUACAGCUGGCUAGUUACGUCGCUAAAACUAAUGGGCUCAGUCUUUAUUAACUUUCCAGGAAUUCAUUUCACAAACUAGUUUGCAACAUUUGACUUCAGUCUUUGUGCUUCCUGCCUCUCUGACAGCCGUCGGUUCAGAGGACAUUGGGUGUGUUCCAUGUGCCAAAUGUGGCCCAGACCACCUCCGAAUGUGGUCUGAGAGAUCAGAUCUCAGCGUGUCCCCGAUGCAUCUUCAUACCUGCACUCGCGGUCGGCUCGCUUCACGUUCACACGAGGUGUAAACAGCCUUGAAGACGAGGCUCAGACGUGUUAACUGACGCCGCGUUUGAACCGUUUGUCUGAUAUUGACGCCACUUAAAGGCGGGCGUCCCUUAAAGGUGAGUGACAAGUGUCUGUGGGCGGCAACCCGAUGCACCGAGUGUGAUGAUGAGUGUUUGUGCAGAGGAAGUGUAGUGAGGAAGUGCCGUCGACCAGAAUUCAGACUGUUUCUGUGUUUCUCUGAGUCACUCAGAGCGUGAAGUUCACUCUGGCUGUUGUUGGGCUAAUGAAUAGCGGCGCUUUUUAGGUCAGUUUGCUGUUGAAACGCCUGAAUCAGCAUGAAACUGUGUCUGUCAGUGAGAAACUCACUGACCU
rnacentral:lncRNA from 15 species